GAAAAUUUAGUUUAAAUAAAACAUUAGUUUGUCAUACUAAAAUUAUUAAAUUUUAAUAAUUUUCA
rnacentral:tRNA from 1 species